UGAAGCAUUGGCCCUCUAUGGCCUUAUUGUUGGUAUCAUCCUCUCCUCCCGUGCUGGUCAAUCAAGAGCUGACUAGGAGAGUUCCUUCUUGGUGGUUGCUUUGUCUAGAAAUAUUCUAUUAUGGUUAGAAUGGGAAAUGUUUUACUGAAGAAUUCUUGUCUCCCGUCUGCAGUUUGAUUUUCUGCGAAAUAGAUCGGUUCAGUGCCAUUGCUGUAGACUGUAGUGAAAUGCAGGGUUGGGUAUUAUUUCUUCCCUUAAAUUAAAGUUGUCAUUGCUUCAUCAUUCAUGUUGUAUUAUGUGGAUUUUUUUGAUGUUUUUGUAGGAAGAUUGCCCUUAUUUUCUUGCAUGAGAUACAAUUAAGGGGGCCUUUUAGAAGUCUACUCUGGUUAUUAACCAUUUGUUGCAGCGAUUGACAUAGUCUAGUGGUAUAUUAAACUAGUUUAAUGCCAGUGUUUUUUCUUCGUUGA
rnacentral:misc_RNA from 1 species